AUUGAACGCUGGCGGCAGGCUUAACACAUGCAAGUCGAACGAUUAAAGCCCCUUCGGGGGUGUAUAGAGUGGCGAACGGGUGAGUAACACGUGGGUAACCUGCCCUAUGCUUUGGGAUAACUCAGGGAAACUUGAGCUAAUACCGAAUACUCCGGACUGAUCGCAUGGUCGGUCCGGGAAAGUUCCGGCGGCAUAGGAUGGACCCGCGGCCCAUUAGCUUGUUGGUGGGGUAAUGGCCUACCAAGGCGACGAUGGGUAGCCGCGCUGAGAGGCGGAUCGGCCACACUGGGACUGAGACACGGCCCAGACUCCUACGGGAGGCAGCAGUGGGGAAUUCUGCGCAAUGGGCGAAAGCCUGACGCAGCAACGCCGCGUGCGGGAUGAAGGCCUUCGGGUUGUAAACCGCUUUCAGCAGGGAUGAAACUGACAGUACCUGCAGAAGAAGCCCCGGCUAACUACGUGCCAGCAGCCGCAGUAA
rnacentral:rRNA from 1 species